rnacentral:pre_miRNA from 1 species
AAAGUACUCCCUCCGUCCCAAAAUUCUUGUCUUAGAUUUGUCUAGAUACGGAUGUAUCUAGAUACAUCCGUAUCUAGACAAAUCUAAGACAAGAAAUUUGGGACAGAGGGAGUAGUUG